UUCAAACCCAUGACCGACCAGAUAUUUUGAUGAAAUCGAUUUGGGUUAUCGCUUCAGAUUAUGAGAUAGAUUUUGAUUUCGAUUUCUAUCUUAUCUCUAACCCAAUUCGACUUUCUCGCCAUCCCUAAUAUAAGGAUCGAUUUGGGUUAUCGCUUCAAACAGAUUAUAAGAGAUUUCGAUUUCUGUUGACUCUGUUUGCAGUUCGAGAAUUUGCUACUAUCAGUAUACGGAUUUUGAGGUCUUAAUCAAACAUCUAAACCACAACUCCACAAGUUCCAACAACUACGGUUCUACCUUCUACUGGUCGUGAUCUCUUGACUUCGAUUUGUUCACUAAAGCGGUGAAGCUCCAACAACUACGGUUCUACCUUCCAUACAGGCUACAACACAAGUAGAGGAGUUCAAGAAUUUGCUGGUUUGUUACUAUUGGUGCAACCCAAUUGUGAUGAAAGGGAGGUUAAGGAUUCCUUGCCAGUAGUCACAGACARAGAUUUAGYAAUCCUUGCCAUACUCUGUAGUCUGUAGAUGCUUUAUAAGUCAUAACAUCACAGAGAAGAUUGUUUCAUGUAUUAGACGAGUACCGAAAGAAUUUUAGUGAUUCUUGGAAAGCUGUUCAAGCAGAUUGCAGUCAGGCAUGGCCAUAUUUAGAUGAAGCUUUGACCAAAUUUCAGGUUUUAGUUCUAUAUUUAUUUUCAUUUUAGAAUCCUCAGCAAGUCUUGUUCUGUAAGUUGAUGUUGAACAUAAACCUUUUUCUGGUUAUACAAAGAGUGGGUGCUGGAAAGAGGGUGUUGAUUUGUUUCAUUACAUGUUGGAAAUGGAUGCCAAAUUUGAUGAGGUUACAUUGAUUAGUGUUUUAACGGCA